UUUUUGAGGCAAUCUUGGAAGCAGAUGCCUCAGCGAGUUCUGCUUUAUCCUCCCACACCACGCUUCUCAAGGGAAGGACCUCAUCUGUAUUCCCAGCCUUGGCACAUCCUAAAUGAAUAAUAAUACAUAUUCACCACCCUGGCCUCGGGACUCUGCUUUGUGCCAUAACUUAGAUCAGGAAAGAUUGCUGAUCCUCUUGUUAUUCCAUGGAAUGUUCUGCAGGACCACAGUUUAGCUGACACCAGGCUAAUCAACCAGGUAAACCUGCCUCCAGUCCUGCCCCUGGAUUUACCCAGUUCACAGACGCGUAUUCUCUGGCUGAUCAGUAUCUCCAGCAACAUGACUGCUGG